rnacentral:rRNA from 1 species
GACGUAGGGGGCCAGCGUUGUUCGGAAUUACUGGGUGUAAAGGGUUCGUAGGCGGUGUGGCAAGUUGGGAGUGAAAUCUCUGGGCUCAACCCAGAGUCUGCUUCCGAAACUGCUGUGCUUGAGUGUGGGAGAGGCGCGUGGAAUUGCAGGUGUAGCGGUGAAAUGCGUAGAUAUCUGCAGGAACACCCGUGGCGAAAGCGGCGCGCUGGGCUGACACUGACGCUCAUGCACGAAAGCGUGGGGAGCAAACAGG